rnacentral:tRNA from 1 species
GGAGUAGAUAGGUGCUGGUGUGCCUUACGGUCUUCAAAACCGCUAUGUGGCGUUAGGAGCGUCAUGGGUGGGUUCGAUUCCCACGUACUCCC